CUAUAAUGCAGUCGAGCGAAUGGAUUGAGAGCUUGCUCUCAAGAAGUUAGCGGCGGACGGGUGAGUAACACGUGGGUAACCUGCCCAUAAGACUGGGAUAACUCCGGGAAACCGGGGCUAAUACCGGAUAAUAUUUUGAACUGCAUGGUUCGAAAUUGAAAGGCGGCUUCGGCUGUCACUUAUGGAUGGACCCGCGUCGCAUUAGCUAGUUGGUGAGGUAACGGCUCACCAAGGCAACGAUGCGUAGCCGACCUGAGAGGGUGAUCGGCCACACUGGGACUGAGACACGGCCCAGACUCCUACGGGAGGCAGCAGUAGGGAAUCUUCCGCAAUGGACGAAAGUCUGACGGAGCAACGCCGCGUGAGUGAUGAAGGCUUUCGGGUCGUAAAACUCUGUUGUUAGGGAAGAACAAGUGCUAGUUGAAUAAGCUGGCACCUUGACGGUACCUAACCAGAAAGCCACGGCUAACUACGUGCCAGCAGCCGCGGUAAUACGUAGGUGGCAAGCGUUAUCCGGAAUUAUUGGGCGUAAAGCGCGCGCAGGUGGUUUCUUAAUUCUGAUGUGAAAGCCCACGGCUC
rnacentral:rRNA from 1 species